rnacentral:rRNA from 1 species
UACGAAGGGGGCUAGCGUUGUUCGGAAUUACUGGGCGUAAAGGGCGCGUAGGCGGCUUAUCAAGUCAGGCGUGAAAGCCCCGGGCUUAACCUGGGAACUGCGUUUGAGACUGGUAGGCUUGAGUACCGGAGAGGUAGGUGGAAUUCCCAGUGUAGAGGUGAAAUUCGUAGAUAUUGGGAAGAACACCAGUGGCGAAGGCGGCCUACUGGACGGUAACUGACGCUGAGGCGCGAAAGCGUGGGGAGCAAACAGG